CCGAUUUAAAUGAAUAACCGUCUCACAUCAAACAAGAUCCAGAUAUAAUGUUCAUGCUUAACGCUGGCACCAAAUAACAAUUAUUCAGAUCUAAAACUAAUCCCGAAGGUAGAUGUAGAGGUAGCGUGCCGACGGCGAUCACAUCGACUUUGGAACCAUUUCCCACGUGCAUCGUCACCUGUCCUUAGCCAAUCUUCGUUUAAUCCGUAGCCCCUGUUUCGAGUUGCAAAUAUGAGCAACAGAACCAGUAUCAAAUACCCAGGCGCUACUAUGAGCAUUAGUAAGGUACACAUCAAUAACAUGUAUACCAAAUAUACCUUUCACUUUGCCAUCCUUCUUAUCCGCCAAAUACUUGGGGCGGUUCCGCUUGAAGUGACCAGUCCCUUUGCAGUAGAAGCACUCAGUCUCAGGCUUAGGUCCAGACUUGGGCUUCUUCACUUGAGCAGCAACUUGCUUGCCGUUCUUCUUGAAAUUCCCCUUCUUCCCUUUGCCAUUUUUCUUGAAACUAGUGGUCUUGUUAACCAUCAACACUUGAUGCUCCUUCUUGAUUUCUACCUCCGCAGCCUUUAGCAUCGCGAAGAGCUCGGGAAUUGUCUUAUCCAUCCCUUGCAUAUUAUAGUUCAUCACGAAGCUUUCGUAGCUUGGUGGCAGUGAUUGAAGAACUAUGUCAAUGACACUAUCAACAGGAAGAUUAACUCCCAGUUGAGCCAAGUGAUUGUGGUACCCAGACAUUUUGAGUAUAUAUUCACUGAUAGAACUAUUCUUCUCCAUUUUGCAGCUGUAGAAUUUAUUGGAGACUUCAUAUCUCUCAAUCUGGGCAUUUGCUUAAAAUAUUAACUUCAACUCCUGAAACAUCUCAUAUGCUCGACGACGUUCAAAAUGUCGUUGAAGUCCCGGUUCUAAGUCGUAAAGCAUGGCACACUGAACUAUCGAGUAGUCUUCAGCUUUGCUCUGCCAGACGUUCAUAACAUCUGGAGUUGCUCCUGCAGCGGGUCUUGCACCUAGCGGUGCUUUCAGGACGUAAUUCUUCUGUGCAGCAAUGAGGAUAAUCCUCAAGUUAUGGACCCAGUCCGUGUAGUUGCUACCAUCAUCUUUCAACUUAGCUUUCUCUAAGAACGCAUUAAAAUUCAAAAGAAUAGUAGCACGGGCCAUUGAUUUACAACAACAUAGACAUGCAAAAUACAAUCAGGUACUAAGUUCAUGACAAAUUAAAGUUCAAUUAAUAAUAUUACUUAAGAACUCCCACUUAGAUAGACAUCCCUCUAAUCAUCUAAAUGAUCACGUGAUCCAUAUCAACUAAACCAUGUCCGAUCAUCACAUGAGAUGGAGUAGUUUUCAAUGGUGAACAUCACUAUAUUGAUCAUAUCUGAUCAAUUGAAAGUAUAGUGGGGUUUUUACGCCCAAACUACCGGAUGUCGUGUUCUCCGCAGGGACUAGGCAUAUCGAUGAUCGUGCUUGGCUAAAGCUAGGUAACACAAUUCAGCUUAUGAACGCAAAAAUAAAACCUAAACUAUCAAUGAUUGUCGCCAAAGAAAAUGCAGAUAAGCAAAGGUAGAUUCAGAUUUUACUUGAUGUAUUUUUUUGGUGUUUUUGUUUUAGUUGAGAAAUAAAAUGCUAACACAAGCAAACAUCAUUGGCUAGGGAAUUAAAAAGACAUGAACAUAUAUAUAACUCGCUAACAUAUAACAGGGGGAAGAAACAUAAUUAUGUGAUGAGAGAAAGAAGCUUCACAUCACCAACAUAUAUGUCAAAGGGACAAAGCUAGCACUGAUCACACAUAACAUGCACUAUAUCUUACAAGUACGAUACUGAACAAAUAUCAGGUUGCAAGAUCUUAUCAAAUCUGAAUAUUACAUGUACUACACGUCUCAAAUUUCAGAAAAUUCAGAGAUUAGAGGGAGAAAGAGAGAUAGCAGCAGCAAGAUUGAGGAGAGAGCAUCAACAAAGGGAGGUUGAGAGAGAGAUUCAGCAGAGGGUGUUGGAGAAGGAGAAGCAGCAGGGGGUGUAGCAAUAGAGAAGCAGCAAGGGGGCGCUGAGAGAAGAAGAGGCGCAAGGAGAGAGGUUGAGAGCAGCAGCAGCGGCAGGUAGAAGAAGUUGAGCGGAGGAGGAGCAGCAGUAGGGACGAGGGGAGGAGCAGCAGCGAAGGGGUUGAGAGAGAGAGAGAGACAGCAGGAGGUUGGAGUUCGGAGCAGCAGCAGCGUGGAGAGUUGAGAGAGCAGCAGCAGAGAAAUAGAAGAAGGAGCAGUAGCUUGGGCGCAAGAAGAGCAGCAGGGCGCAUAGGAAGAAGGAGCAGCAGCAGGUUGCAUGGAAGAAGGAGCAGCAGCAGGGGACGUUGAGAGAGAAGAGGAGCAAGAUCGGGGCAGCAAGGAGGAGAGAGGCGCUUGGUGCUGAUGGCGGCAGUGGCUGGAGAUGGUGGCGCUAGUGGAGUGGUGGAUGGAGGCUGCUGGUGGUGGGUAUGCUGGUGGAUGGAUGGGUGACGGAGGCGCACCACCACGUCGGCCUGGCCAUGGCGGCGGCCGGAGUUGGAUAAGGAGGGGUGAGGGAGAGAGAGAUGUGCCAGGCCCGAUUGGAUCCCUCCAGCGCCUAGGGAUUUUGUUCCCCUCCUCUCAUCUGCACUUUGUGAUUUGGCCCUCUUACUUCUCUUCUUUCUUCACAAGAAGAUCCUCCCACUUCUUCAGCUUGCCCCUGGUAACUUCUUUUCUUCUCUCUCGGGUCCUUGACUCCAUCACUUGAUCUUUUGUAGUAGAAGGAUUUUGUGCCUUGUCACACUUUUCUGCAAAAUAAACAAGUGACUAGUCAACAAUCCUUUUAUAUGAUUUUCAUUCAAUUAUUCCAUAUUUAAAACAAGAAUUGGUGGUCAGAACUCAACAAAUGGUAUAUUUGUAUGCCAAAAUUAUGUAUAAGAAAUGUGCUUAUCAAGUUCCCCCACACCUAAAUCUUUACUUGUCCUCAAGUAAAGGCAUAUGACAAGGGCAAGAUGGUGAAUAGUGACCUGACUAGAGAACGCCAAGUGAAGUAGAUCUCCAAACUAUGCAUGCUUUGGACUUAGUUAGUGAGAAUCAAUGGUUAAAAGUGUUACAAAGCAGUAGGAUACUAGUAGACUCAAUCAUUUUAAAAUUCUACAAUGGUAAAAGAAGAUCAACAAGUUCAAAUGAUGAUUGUGCCAAAUGGUUCCUAAAGAGAGCAUGAUCCCAAGAACAAAGCUUGUGAUCAAAUCACUUAUUUACAGAAAUAAAGCAAUGAUAUUAUUAUUACUAGCAAAAAGGCUCAUGCGUUGCAACGGGAGAAAAAAAUCCUCUCAUAUCUCUAGCUGGGUCAGUUGGACAAACUGUGUGUGGCCGGUUCGCAGGUUACGAGAUCGAACCUGUCAUCGGCAAUUCUAUUUUGUGCCAGCUCUCGGACCUGGGCCUCAGUGCGUCGCCAGGUGGGCAUUCUCCGUUGGGCCAAAACGGGUGGCAAGUAACGAAACCAAAUAGCGUACGUGAAAUUAAUUGAAGCGGGACCAAACGAAGCGGGACGAAACCAAGAAUAUCACCUCCCUUUAAUAGUAAAUUAGUCUCACCAAAGGAACAUACCACCGAUCCCGAGAACAUGGUAUACACCCGGCUCAACUAAUUAUUAGUUUUAGUUUUGUUUGUCUCCCCAAAGGAACAUACCACCGAUCCAGAGAACAUGGUAUACACCUGGUUCGACAAUUACAAUGUUUUUAAUAUAAUUAACUCUUAUCCAAUCCAACCAUAUUUCACAAGCCACCGAUCCAGGGAACAUGACAUGCUACUGUUAGGUAAGAUCAGAUAAUUAUUCAUUAUAAGAUUUUUUUUAAUGAACAACACAUAAGCACAAAAAACAGGAAUCCUCACUUCUCCAUGUCUGGUUCACAUGCUACCGAUCCAGGGAACAUAGCAUGCUAAUCCAUAGUGGUUAGGUGAUUGCUCUAAAUGGGAACACACUUGGCACAAAUUCGGCAUCUAAACAUGGUAAUCUAGGUGUAUCAUAGUAAAUGCAGAAAAUGACAUAGUUUACUAGUGCACUAGGGAUUUGAGCACUCAAAACUAAUAGUUCUCACUAAUUUCAGCAAAGCACGCAUGGUGUAGAUCACUAGUUUACAAGGCAUUCAACAAUCAGUUCGCAUAUUCUCAUCAAGCACCAUAUGUCAAAGGUGAAAUUCAGUGGGACAACAUUUAAGAAAUGGCACAAGCAACCCAAAUAAAAAUUUAAUUCAGCAAGCAUCAAUGGAUGAUGAUUUCAAAAUGGGUCAUGAAACAGCUCACCAGGCUUUGAUGAUGUAGCACUCGCUCGAUCACCUCACCAACUGCAGCUCCUCUCCUUUUGCUUCCUCAUACAUGCUCCAGCUUCACUCUUCCUCAUGUGUGCACAUUGCUUCUCCUCAUCACCAUGCCGUGAAUCCACCAGGAUCCCAUGGGAUGUCAUCUCGAACUUGGUCAGCCCGCAAUGAAUGGUGCACAAGCGUAAACCUGAAAGAACACUCAACAAACAAGCCAAAACAAGUGAUAGGGACAAUGCCCUCCAAGUCAUCAAUAGAGUAUCCUAUCACAUAAGCAUAUCUAUUGAGCAUAUCAUACACAUGUAUCAUCAAUUCACUUGGUGCAUAGGUAAUAUCAACGAUAUGACAUAACUUGUCGAGAAAGCUAAGAUAAUACCUGGGAUGAUCUGAGAGAAGUUUUAGGACUACCUUAGUUGAAGAUACUAUGGAAGGCAUGGUAGUAGAAACUUCCACCAGACUCGUGUCAACAAGUGAAAUAUUAGAGUUUGGCUUCUUGACAUCUAGAUCAACCUCAUCAUAAUCAACAAUGCAGGUUUCCAUCUCAGGCUCAAGUGUUGAGGAAUCAAUGUGGCUAAUGUCAUCAAAGGUGAACUUCUCCAUAUCUGGCUCUAGCAGCACAUGAUCAAUAUCAACUAAAGGUGACUCCUCAAUAUAAAAAACAACUAACUGCAGCUCUGGCUCAUCCAUGGAAGAAUCAUCACAAUGCAAAACUAAAUCUCCAACACUAGUAUCCAUAUGAUCUGAAGUGUGUGUGUCAACUAGGAUGGUGUCAUCAUCAUCAUCAAAGAUAAUCCAUGAAAGCUCAAUCUUGUUACACGGAGAAACUGGUUCCGACUUUUGUGUAAGAGAUUCUUGCUGAGAUGAAGUGAUUUGUUGCAAACAAGCAACUGAAUCAGAGAUGGGCUUCUCAUUGUACCACUGAAGUUGGUGGAAGGCUAUACUCUCAAUCAGCAGAAAAGCAUCAUCAAGUGUCUUGUUUGUAAUAGCUCCACCCGCUGCCAUAUCGAUGUAAGCUCGAGUGUCCGAAGUCAAUCCUCUAUAGAAUAUCUGCAACUCUAACCAUCUCUCGAGCCCGUGGUUAGGACAUCUCCUGAAUAAAACCUUGUAUCUCUCCCAAGCAUCAUACAAGCUCUCGUAUUCACGCUGAAUGAAAUUGAAGAUCUCAUCUCGAAUCACAGACUGCUUGUGUAGUGGGAAAUAUCUAUCCAAGAAAGCUCGUGAUAUCUCAUUCCAACUGUAUGACCUUGAUGGCAAGGAUCGAUACCAAGCAUGAGUAUCAUCACGGAGAGAGAAUGUGAACAACCUGCACAUGAUUGCAUCUUGAGGAACUCCAUGGUACUUGACUGUAUCUGAAUACUCCAUGACUCGGUGUAAGUGCUCAUAGGGAUCCUCAGUAGGCAGUCCUCCAAACUGUUGUUGUUGAACCAAAGCAAUAAGACUAGGUUUCAGCUCGAAGUUCUCUGCCUCAAUAGUUGGCCAAAUCGGUCCUGUGAUAUAGCACUGACUUUUGGGCAUCCAAAGAUCACGAAGCAAUGCCAUCUUAACCGAGUGUAACUAUACCUGCAAUUAGUUCAGAUUUCCUACAAACACUCAUAAACAGUAAACACUGGUCAGAAAGUUAGUAUCCUAAUAAGCCGAAGCAACAAAAAGUAAAAAGGUAAAAGAAGCACAGAAAUCAAUUUGAAUGGAAAUUUAAACAAAAACUAAACUAAGCCUAGUCUAUAGCUUCACACAAUCGUUCGACGCUAGUCCCCGGCAACGGCGCCAAAAUGAUCAAUCGAAAGUAUAGUGGGGUUUUUACGACCAAACUACGGAUGUCGUGUUCUCCACAGGGACUAGGCAAAUCGAUGAUCGUGCUUGGCUAAAGCUAGGUAACACAAUUCAGCUUAUGAAUGCAAACAUAAAACCUAAACUAUCAAUGAUUGUCGCCAAAGAAAAUGCAGAUAAGCAAAGGUAGAUUCAGAUUUUACUUGAUGUAUUUUUUUGGUGUUUUUGUUUUAGUUGAGAAAUAAAAUGCUAACACAAGCAAACAUCAAUGGCUAGGGAAUUAAAAAGACAUGAACAUAUAUAUAACUCGCUAACAUAUAACAGGGGGAAGAAACAUAAUUAUGUGACGAGAGAAAGAAGCUUCACAUCACCAACAUAUAUGUCAAAGGGACAAAGCUAGCACUGAUCACACAUAACAUGCACUAUAUCUUACAAGUACGAUACUGAACAAAUAUCAGGUUGCAAGAUCUUAUCAAAUCUGAAUAUUACAUGUACUACACGUCUCAAAUUUCAGAAAAUUCAGAGAUUAGAGGGAGAAAGAGAGAUAGGAGCAGCAAGAUUGAGGAGAGAGCAUCAACAAAGGGAGGUUGAGAGAGAGAUUCAGCAAAGGGUGUUGGAGAAGGAGAAGCAGCAGGGGGUGUAGCAAUAGAGAAGCAGCAAGGUGGCGCUAGAGAGAAGAAGAGGCGCAAGGAGAGAGGUUGAGAGCAGCAGCGGCGACAGGUAGAAGAAGUUGAGCGGAGGAGGAGCAGCAGUAGGGACGAGGGGAGGAGCAGCAGCGAAGGGGUUGAGAGAGAGAGAGAGAGAGACAGCAGGAGGUUGGAGUUCAGAGCAGCAGCAGCGUGGAGGGUUGAGAGAGUAGCAGCAGAGGAAUAGAAGAAGGAGCAGUAGCUUGGGCGCAAGAAGAGCAGCAGGGGCGCAUAGGAAGAAGGAGCAGCAGCAGGUUGCAUGGAAGAAGGAGCAGCAGCAGGGGACGUUGAGAGAGAAGAGGAGCAAGAGCGGGGCAGCAAGGAGGAGAGAGGCGCUUGGUGCUGAUGGCGGCAGUGGCUGGAGAUGGUGGCGCUAGUGGAGUGGUGGAUGGAGGCUGCUGGUGGUGGGUAUGCUGGUGGAUGGAUAGGUGACGGAG
rnacentral:lncRNA from 1 species